rnacentral:misc_RNA from 1 species
UUGGAUCCGACGAAGUCGUAACAAGGUAGCCGUACCGGAAGGUGCGGCUGGAUCACCUCCUUUCUAAGGAGCACCACGAAAAGCACUCCAAUUGGUGGGGUGCGAGCCGUGAGGGGUUCCCGUCUGUAGUGGACGGGGGCCGGGUGCACAACAGCAAAUGAUUGCCAGACACACUAUUGGGCCCUGAGACAACACUCGGUCGAUCCGUGUGGAGUCCCUCCAUCU